CCAAACAACCAGGAGGUUGGCUUAGAAGCAGCCAUCCUUUAAAGAAAGCGUAACAGCUCACUGGUCGAGUGGUAUUGCGCCUACAAUGUAACGGGGCUUAAGUCUGAUACCGAAGCUGCGGGGCGAAUAUGAACUUCGGUUCAUAAUCGUUGGUAGGGGAGCGUUCUGUUAGGAACGAAGCUGGAUCGUGAGGAACAGUGGACUUAACAGAAGUGAUUAUGCCGGCAUGAGUAGCGAAAAAAUGGGCGAGAAACCCAUUCGCCGAAAACCCAAGGUUUCCUGAGGAAGGUUAAUCCGCUCAGGGUAAGUCGGCCCCUAAGUCGAGGCCGAAAGGCGUAGACGAUGGGAAACGGGUUAAAAUUCCCGUACCACCUAAUAAGUGUUAUAAAACGUGGGGUAACGCAGAAGGAUAGGCCAGCCGGCGAUUGGAUGUGCCGGUUCAAAUCUGUAGGAGGGUUGCUUAGGUAAAUCCGGGCGACUAUUAAACUCUGAGGGAUGAUGUGGAGACCGAAAGGUUAUAAACUGGUUGAUUCCAUGCUGCCAAGAAAAACCUCGGGCGUAAAUUUAUUGGGUGACCGUACCGUAAUCCAACACAGGUAGGUGAGGAGAGUAUCCUAAGGCGCUUGAGUGAAACCACAUUAAGGAAUUCGGCAAAUUUGCCCCGUAAUUUCGAGAGAAGGGGUGCCCUCAUUAGGUGAAGCAAUUCGCUUGUGGAGCCGAAGGGGGUUGCAGUGAAAUGGCCCAGGCGACUGUUUAGUAAAAACACAGGUCUCUGCUAAGUCGUAAGACGAUGUAUAGGGACUGACACCUGCCCGGUGCCGGAAGGUUAAGGGGAGGGGUUAGCAGCAAUGCGAAGCUCUGAACCGAAGCCCCGGUAAACGGCGGCCGUAACUAUAACGGUCCUAAGGUAGCGAAAUUCCUUGUCGGGUAAGUUCCGACCUGCACGAAUGGUGUAACGAUCUGGGCGCUGUCUCAAUGAGGAACUCAGCGAAAUUGUAAUGGCUGUGCAGAUGCAGUCUACCCGCGACAAGACGGAAAGACCCCGUGCACCUUUACUAUAGCUUGACAUUGGAUUUUGGAUUAGCAUGUGCAGGAUAGGUGGGAGGCUUUGAAGCUGAGGCGUUAGCCUUGGUGGAGCCAAACUUGAGAUACCACCCUUGUUGGUUUGGAGUUCUAACCCAUUCCCGUGAAUCCGGGGUGGGAACAGUGUCUGGUGGGUAGUUUGACUGGGGCGGUCGCCUCCUAAAAAGUAGCGGAGGCGCCCUAAGGUUCCCUCAGCACGGACGGCAAUCGUGCAUAGAGUGUAAAGGCAUAAGGGAGCUUGACUGCGAGACCGACAGGUCGAGCAGGUACGAAAGUAGGGCUUAGUGAUCCGGUGGUCCUGUGUGGAAAGGCCAUCGCUCAACGGAUAAAAGGUACGCCGGGGAUAACAGGCUUAUCUUGCCCAAGAGUUCAUAUCGACGGCAAGGUUUGGCACCUCGAUGUCGGCCCGUCGCAUCCUGGGGCUGAAGCAGGUCCCAAGGGUUUGGCUGUUCGCCAAUUAAAGCGGUACGCGAGCUGGGUUUAGAACGUCGUGAGACAGUUCGGUCCCUAUCUGUCGUGGGUGUAGGAUAUUUGAGAGGAGCUGUUCCUAGUACGAGAGGACCGGAAUGGACGAACCUCUGGUGUGCCGGUUGUUCUGCCAAGAGCAUCGCCGGGUAGCUACGUUCGGUCGGGAUAACCGCUGAAAGCAUAUAAGCGGGAAGCCCACCUCAAGAUUGGAUAUCCCGUGGUGUUAUACCACCUAAAGGCUUCUUGAAGACUACGAGAUCGAUAGGCCGGAUGUGUAAGUACAGCAAUGUAUUCAGCAAACCGGUACUAAUAAGCCGUGCGGCUUAAU
rnacentral:rRNA from 1 species